rnacentral:rRNA from 1 species
UACGUAGGGUGCAAGCGUUAAUCGGAAUUACUGGGCGUAAAGCGUGCGCAGGCGGUUUUGUAAGUCUGUCGUGAAAUCCCCGGGCUCAACCUGGGAAUGGCGAUGGAGACUGCAAGGCUAGAGUUUGGCAGAGGGGGGGUAGAAUUCCACGUGUAGCAGUGAAAUGCGUAGAUAUGUGGAGGAACACCGAUGGCGAAGGCAGCCCCCUGGGUCAAAACUGACGCUCAUGCACGAAAAGCGUGGGGAGCAAACAGG